rnacentral:rRNA from 1 species
CGUUGACCUCGAAUCAGGUAGGACUACCCGCUGAACUUAAGCAUAUCAAUA